rnacentral:rRNA from 1 species
UGGGGAAUAUUGCACAAUGGGCGCAAGCCUGAUGCAGCCAUGCCGCGUGUGUGAAGAAGGCCUUCGGGUUGUAAAGCACUUUCAGCGGGGAGGAAGGGAGUAAAGUUAAUACCUUUGCUCAUUGACGUUACCCGCAGAAGAAGCACCGGCUAACUCCGUGCCAGCAGCCGCGGUAAUACGGAGGGUGCAAGCGUUAAUCGGAAUUACUGGGCGUAAAGCGCACGCGGGCGGUUUGUUAAGUCAGAUGUGAAAUCCCCGGGCUCAACCUGGGAACUGGAUCUGAUACUGGCAAGCUGGAGUCUCGUGGAGGGGGGUAGAAUUCCAGGUGUAGCGGUGAAAUGCGUAGAGAUCUGGAAGAAUACCGGUGGCGAAGGCGGCCCCCUGGACGAAGACUGACGCUCAGGUGCGAAAGAGUGGGGAGCAAACAGG